CCUACGGGAGGCAGCAGUCGAGAAUCAUUCACAAUGGGGGAAACCCUGAUGGUGCGACGCCGCGUGGGGGAAUGAAGGUCUUCGGAUUGUAAACCCCUGUCAUGUGGGAGCAAAUUAAAAAGAUAGUACCACAAGAGGAAGAGACGGCUAACUCUGAGCCAGCAGCCGCGGUAAUACAGAGGUCUCAAGCGUUGUUCGGAAUCACUGGGCGUAAAGCGUGCGUAGGCUGUUUCGUAAGUCGUGAGUGAAAGGCGCGGGCUCAACCCGCGGACGGCACAUGAUACUGCGGGUCUAGAGUAAUGGAGGGGGAGGCGGAAUUCUCGGUGUAGCGGUGAAAUGCGUAGAUAUCGGGAGGAACACUCGUGGCGAAGGCGGGUUCCUGGACAUUAACUGACGCUGAGGCACGAAGGCCAGGGGAGCGAACGGGAUUAGAUACCCCAGUAGUC
rnacentral:rRNA from 1 species